UGGGUCUCGCUCGUUACCUGACUUAACAGGAUGCUUCACAGUACGAACUGACGACGGCCAUGCACCACCUCUCAGCUAAUCCGGCAAAGUCCGGUUCAGCCUGGCCGGUCAUACUGAUGUCGAGACCCUCCCGGUAAGAUUUCCGGCGUUGAAUCCAAUUAAACCGCAAGCUCCACCCGUUGUGGUGCUCCCCCGCCAAUUCCUUUAAGUUUCAGCCUUGCGGCCGUACUUCCCAGGUGGCUCGCUUCACGGCUUCCCUACGGCACCGACAACGGUCGCACCGUGGCCGACACCUAGCGAGUAUCGUUUACGGCUAGGACUACCCGGGUAUCUAAUCCGGUUCGUGCCCCUAGCUUUCGUCCCUUGCCGUCAGGUCCGUUCUGGUGAGACGCCUUCGCCACUGGUGGUCCUUCAAGGAUUACAAGAUUUCACCCCUACCCCUGAAGUACCUCUCACCUCUCCCGGCCUCGAGCCAGACAGUAUCUCCUGAAAGCCUGACAGUUAAGCUGCCAGAUUUCUCAAGAGACUUAUCCGGCCGGCUACAGACCCUUUAGACCCAAUAAUAACGGUUACCACUCGAGCCGCCGGUGUUACCGCGGCGGCUGGCACCGGUCUUGCCCGGCCCUUGCUAUGAAAUGCUUUUUAGGCAUCUCGACAGCCAGAUUUGUAACCUGGCACUCGAGGUUCCCUUAUCGCU
rnacentral:rRNA from 1 species